UGGGGAAUAUUGGACAAUGGGGGGAACCCUGAUCCAGCCAUGCCGCGUGUGUGAAGAAGGCCUUAUGGUUGUAAAGCACUUUAAGCGAGGAGGAGGGUACUGGUAUUAAUACUACCAGGUACUGGACGUUACUCGCAGAAUAAGCACUGGCUAACUCUGUGCCAGCAGCCGCGGUAAUACAGAGGGUGCGAGCGUUAAUCGGAUUUACUGGGCGUAAAGCGUGCGUAGGCGGCUAAUUGAGUCGGAUGUGAAAUCCCCGAGCUUAACUUGGGAAUUGCAUUCGAUACUGGUUAGCUGGAGUGUGUGAGAGGAUGGUAGAAUUCCAGGUGUAACGGUGAAAUGCGUAGAAAUCUGGAAGAAUACCGAUGGCGAAGGCAGCCAUCUGGCCAAACAAUGACGCUGAGGUACGAAAGCAUGGGGAGCAAACAGG
rnacentral:rRNA from 1 species